UACGUAGGGUGCGAGCGUUAAUCGGAAUUACUGGGCGUAAAGCGUGCGCAGGCGGUUUUGUAAGCCAGAUGUGAAAUCCCCGGGCUUAGCCUGGGAAUGGCAUUUGGGACUGCAAGGCUGGAGUGCGGCAGAGGAGAAUGGAAUUCCUGGUGUAGCAGUGAAAUGCGCAGAUAUCAGGAGGAACACCUAUUGCGAAGGCAGCUCGCUGGGACGUAACUGACGCUGAGACGCGAAAGCGUGGGGAGCAAACAGG
rnacentral:rRNA from 1 species